GCCAGUGCAGCACGACAGGUCGUGCACCGGUUUCGUAAUCCGGAGGCAGGCGGUUCGAGUCCGCCCGCUGGCU
rnacentral:tRNA from 1 species